rnacentral:misc_RNA from 1 species
GAUGAAGAACGUAGCGAAAUGCGAUAAGUAAUGUGAAUUGCAGAAUUCAGUGAAUCAUCGAAUCUUUGAACGCACAUUGCGCCCGCCAGUAUUCUGGCGGGCAUGCCUGUUCGAGCGUCAUUACAACCCUCAGGCCCCCGGGCCUGGCGUUGGGGAUCGGCGGAAGCCCCCUGCGGGCACAACGCCGUCCCCCAAAUACAGUGGCGGUCCCGCCGCAGCUUCCAUUGCGUAGUAGCUAACACCUCGCAACUGGAGAGCGGCGCAGCCACGCCGUAAAACACCCAACUUCUGAAUGUUGACCUCGAAUCAGGUAGGAAUACCCGCUGAACUUAAGCAUAUCAAUAAGCGGAGGA